UUUUAGUAACGGGCGAGUGAAGCGGUAACAGCUCAAAUUUGAAAUCUGGCUCUUGCGGAGUCCGAGUUGUAAUUUGUAGAAGAUGCUUUGGGUUGUGGGUUCGGCCUAAGUUCCUUGGAACAGGACGUCAUAGAGGGUGAGAAUCCCGUAUGUGGCCGAGGCCCGCGCCUAUGUAAAGCUCUUUCAACGAGUCGAGUUGUUUGGGAAUGCAGCUCAAAAUGGGUGGUAAAUUUCAUCUAAAGCUAAAUAUGGGCCAGAGACCGAUAGCGCACAAGUAGAGUGAUCGAAAGAUGAAAAGCACUUUGGAAAGAGAGUUAAACAGUACGUGAAAUUGUUGAAAGGGAAGCGCUUGCAACCAGACUUGGGCGCUGCCGAUCACCUUGAGUUUUCUCGAGUGCACUCGACAGCGCACAGGCCAGCAUCGGUUCGGGUGGCUGGAUAAAGGCCGUAGGAAUGUGGCUCUCUUCGGGGAGUGUUAUAGCCUACGGUGCCAUGCAGCCCAGCCGGACCGAGGACCGCGCCUUCGGGCUAGGAUGCUGGCGUAAUGGUUGUAAGCGACCCGUCUUGAAACACGGACCAAGGAGUCUAACAUCUAUGCGAGUGUUUGGGUGGUAAACCCAUACGCGGAAUGAAAGUGAACGUAGGUGAGAACCCCUUUGGGGCGCAUCAUCGACCGAUCCUGAUGUCUUCGGAUGGAUUUGAGUAAGAGCAUAGCUGUUGGGACCCGAAAGAUGGUGAACUAUGCCUGAAUAGGGUGAAGCCAGAGGAAACUCUGGUGGAGGCUCGCAGCGGUUCUGACGUGCAAAUCGAUCGUCAAAUUUGGGCAUAGGGGCGAAAGACUAAUCGAACCAUCUAGUAGCUGGUUCCUGCCGAAGUUUCCCUCAGGAUAGCAA
rnacentral:rRNA from 1 species